rnacentral:rRNA from 2 species
GGGUUGUGAGGUUAAGCGACUAAGCGUACACGGUGGAUGCCCUGGCAGUCAGAGGCGAUGAAGGACGUGCUAAUCUGCGAAAAGCGCCGGCGAGGUGAUAUGAACCUUUGACCCGGCGAUGUCCGAAUGGGGAAACCCAGUGUGUUCCGACACACUAUCGUUAACUGAAUACAUAGGUUAACGAGGCGAACCGGGGGAACUGAAACAUCUAAGUACCCCGAGGAAAAGAAAUCAACCGAGAUUCCCCCAGUAGCGGCGAGCGAACGGGGAGCAGCCCAGAGUCUGAAUCAGCUUGUGUGUUAGUGGAAGCGUCUGGAAAGUCGCACGGUACAGGGUGACAGUCCCGUACACGAAAGCACACAGGCUGUGAACUCGAAGAGUAGGGCGGGACACGUGGUAUCCUGUCUGAAUAUGGGGGGACCAUCCUCCAAGGCUAAAUACUCCUGACUGACCGAUAGUGAACCAGUACCGUGAGGGAAAGGCGAAAAGAACCCCGGCGAGGGGAGUGAAAAAGAACCUGAAACCGUGUACGUACAAGCAGUGGGAGCCUCUUUAUGGGGUGACUGCGUACCUUUUGUAUAAUGGGUCAGCGACUUAUAUUCUGUAGCAAGGUUAACCGUAUAGGGGAGCCGAAGGGAAACCGAGUCUUAACUGGGCGUUAAGUUGCAGGGUAUAGACCCGAAACCCGGUGAUCUAGCCAUGGGCAGGUUGAAGGUUGGGUAACACUAACUGGAGGACCGAACCGACUAAUGUUGAAAAAUUAGCGGAUGACUUGUGGCUGGGGGUGAAAGGCCAAUCAAACCGGGAGAUAGCUGGUUCUCCCCGAAAGCUAUUUAGGUAGCGCCUCGUGAACUCAUCUUCGGGGGUAGAGCACUGUUUCGGCUAGGGGGCCAUCCCGGCUUACCAACCCGAUGCAAACUACGAAUACCGAAGAAUGUUAUCACGGGAGACACACGGCGGGUGCUAACGUCCGUCGUGAAGAGGGAAACAACCCAGACCGCCAGCUAAGGUCCCAAAGUCAUGGUUAAGUGGGAAACGAUGUGGGAAGGCACAGACAGCCAGGAUGUUGGCUUAGAAGCAGCCAUCAUUUAAAGAAAGCGUAAUAGCUCACUGGUCGAGUCGGCCUGCGCGGAAGAUGUAACGGGGCUAAACCAUGCACCGAAGCUGCGGCAGCGACACUAUGUGUUGUUGGGUAGGGGAGCGUUCUGUAAGCCGUUGAAGGUGUCCUGUGAGGGGUGCUGGAGGUAUCAGAAGUGCGAAUGCUGACAUAAGUAACGAUAAAGCGGGUGAAAAGCCCGCUCGCCGGAAGACCAAGGGUUCCUGUCCAACGUUAAUCGGGGCAGGGUGAGUCGACCCCUAAGGCGAGGCCGAAAGGCGUAGUCGAUGGGAAACAGGUUAAUAUUCCUGUACUUGGUGUUACUGCGAAGGGGGGACGGAGAAGGCUAUGUUAGCCGGGCGACGGUUGUCCCGGUUUAAGCAUGUAGGCGGAGGUUCCAGGUAAAUCCGGUUCCUUGUUAACGCUGAGGUGUGAUGACGAGGCACUACGGUGCUGAAGUAACAAAUGCCCUGCUUCCAGGAAAAGCCUCUAAGCAUCAGGUAACAUCAAAUCGUACCCCAAACCGACACAGGUGGUCAGGUAGAGAAUACCAAGGCGCUUGAGAGAACUCGGGUGAAGGAACUAGGCAAAAUGGUGCCGUAACUUCGGGAGAAGGCACGCUGAUAUGUAGGUGAAGCCCCUGCGGGUGGAGCUGAAAUCAGUCGAAGAUACCAGCUGGCUGCAACUGUUUAUUAAAAACACAGCACUGUGCAAACACGAAAGUGGACGUAUACGGUGUGACGCCUGCCCGGUGCCGGAAGGUUAAUUGAUGGGGUUAGCGGUAACGCGAAGCUCUUGAUCGAAGCCCCGGUAAACGGCGGCCGUAACUAUAACGGUCCUAAGGUAGCGAAAUUCCUUGUCGGGUAAGUUCCGACCUGCACGAAUGGCGUAAUGAUGGCCAGGCUGUCUCCACCCGAGACUCAGUGAAAUUGAACUCGCUGUGAAGAUGCAGUGUACCCGCGGCAAGACGGAAAGACCCCGUGAACCUUUACUAUAGCUUGACACUGAACACUGGUCCUUGAUGUGUAGGAUAGGUGGGAGGCUUUGAAGCGUGGACGCCAGUCUGCGUGGAGCCAACCUUGAAAUACCACCCUUUAAUGGCUGGUGUUCUAACGUAGACCCGUAAUCCGGGUUGCGGACAGUGUCUGGUGGGUAGUUUGACUGGGGCGGUCUCCUCCCAAAGAGUAACGGAGGAGCACGAAGGUUAGCUAAUCCUGGUCGGACAUCAGGAGGUUAGUGCAAUGGCAUAAGCUAGCUUGACUGCGAGAGUGACGGCUCGAGCAGGUGCGAAAGCAGGUCAUAGUGAUCCGGUGGUUCUGAAUGGAAGGGCCAUCGCUCAACGGAUAAAAGGUACUCCGGGGAUAACAGGCUGAUACCGCCCAAGAGUUCAUAUCGACGGCGGUGUUUGGCACCUCGAUGUCGGCUCAUCACAUCCUGGGGCUGAAGUAGGUCCCAAGGGUAUGGCUGUUCGCCAUUUAAAGUGGUACGCGAGCUGGGUUUAGAACGUCGUGAGACAGUUCGGUCCCUAUCUGCCGUGGGCGCUGGAGAAUUGAGGGGGGCUGCUCCUAGUACGAGAGGACCGGAGUGGACGCAUCACUGGUGUUCGGGUUGUCAUGCCAAUGGCACUGCCCGGUAGCUAAAUGCGGAAGAGAUAAGUGCUGAAAGCAUCUAAGCACGAAACUUGCCCCGAGAUGAGUUCUCCCUGAGACUUUAAGUCUCCUGAAGGAACGUUGAAGACUACGACGUUGAUAGGUCGGGUGUGUAAGCGCAGCGAUGCGUUGAGCUAACCGAUACUAAUGAACCGUGAGGCUUAACCUUACAACGCCGAAG